UACGAAGGGUGCAAGCGUUAAUCGGAAUUACUGGGCGUAAAGGGUGCGUAGGCGGUUGUUUAAGUCUGUCGUGAAAUCCCCGGGCUCAACCUGGGAAUGGCGAUGGAUACUGGGCAGCUAAAGUGUGUCAGAGGAUGGUGGAAUUCCCGGUGUAGCGGUGAAAUGCGUAGAGAUCGGGAGGAACAUCAGUGGCGAAGGCGGCCAUCUGGGACAACACUGACGCUGAAGCACGAAAGCGUGGGGAGCAAACAGG
rnacentral:rRNA from 1 species